rnacentral:misc_RNA from 1 species
UCGCGGCUUAUCACCGGCAGUCCCCGCCAUUACGCGCUGGCAACAUGGAACGAGGGUUGCGCUCGUUGCGGGACUUAACCCAACAUCUCACGACACGAGCUGACGACAACCAUGCACCACCUGUGAACCGGCCCCAAAGGGGAAACCACAUCUCUGCGCCAUUCCGGUUCAUGUCAAGCCUUGGUAAGGUUCUUCGCGUUGCAUCGAAUUAAUCCGCAUGCUCCGCCGCUUGUGCGGGCCCCCGUCAAUUCCUUUGAGUUUUAGCCUUGCGGCCGUACUCCCCAGGCGGGGCACUUAAUGCGUUAGCUACGGCGCGGAAAACGUGGAAUGUCCCCCACACCUAGUGCCCAACGUUUACGGCAUGGACUAC